rnacentral:rRNA from 1 species
GACGAACGCUGGCGGCGUGCUUAACACAUGCAAGUCGAGCGAGGCCCCUCCUUCGGGAGGGUGUCCUAGCGGCGAACGGGUGAGUAACACGUGGGCAACCUGCCCUCAGCUCUGGGAUAACUCCGGGAAACCGGGGCUAAUACCGGAUACGACCUCCACGGGCAUCUGCGGAGGUGGAAAGUUUUUCGGCUGAGGAUGGGCCCGCGGCCUAUCAGCGAGUUGGUGGGGUAGUGGCCCACCAAGGCGACGACGGGUAGCCGGCCUGAGAGGGCGACCGGCCACACUGGGACUGAGACACGGCCCAGACUCCUACGGGAGGCAGCAGUGGGGAAUAUUGCGCAAGGGGCGAAAGCCUGACGCAGCGACGCCGCGUGAGGGACGAAGGCCUUCGGGUUGUAAACCUCUUUCAGCAGGGACGAAGCGAAAGUGACGGUACCUGCAGAAGAAGCACCGGCCAACUACGUG